ACUCAUGCAGUCGUACGAUGAUCAGGAGCUUGCUCCUGUGAUUAGUGGCGAACGGGUGAGUAACACGUGAGUAACCUGCCCCUGACUCUGGGAUAAGCGUUGGAAACGACGUCUAAUACUGGAUAUGACUUCCGGCCGCAUGGUCUGGUUGUGGAAAGAUUUUUUGGUUGGGGAUGGACUCGCGGCCUAUCAGCUUGUUGGUGAGGUAAUGGCUCACCAAGGCGACGACGGGUAGCCGGCCUGAGAGGGUGACCGGCCACACUGGGACUGAGACACGGCCCAGACUCCUACGGGAGGCAGCAGUGGGGAAUAUUGCACAAUGGGCGAAAGCCUGAUGCAGCAACGCCGCGUGAGGGAUGACGGCCUUCGGGUUGUAAACCUCUUUUAGUAGGGAAGAAGCGAAAGUGACGGUACCUGCAGAAAAAGCACCGGCUAACUACGUGCCAGCAGCCGCGGUAAUACGUAGGGUGCAAGCGUUGUCCGGAAUUAUUGGGCGUAAAGAGCUCGUAGGCGGUUUGUCGCGUCUGCUGUGAAAUCCCGAGGCUCAACCUCGGGCUUGCAGUGGGUACGGGCAGACUAGAGUGCGGUAGGGGAGAUUGGAAUUCCUGGUGUAGCGGUGGAAUGCGCAGAUAUCAGGAGGAACACCGAUGGCGAAGGCAGAUCUCUGGGCCGUAACUGACGCUGAGGAGCGAAAGCAUGGGGAGCGAACAGGAUUAGAUACCCUGGUAGUCCAUGCCGUAAACGUUGGGCGCUAGAUGUAGGGACCUUUCCACGGUUUCUGUGUCGUAGCUAACGCAUUAAGCGCCCC
rnacentral:rRNA from 1 species